UGGUCGCUCUGAUCUCGGGAUCGUUAUCUUGAACCCAGGUGGACUCUAUCGUACUCUCUCUCUCUCUUUCUCCACCUCUGCAAGGGACGGUGGGGUCGAUCCGACGGCGGUGGGAUUCCGACGGGUGCUCCACCUCCACCGGGACGUGCCGAGAACCGCUCGAUUCUACUCGGAAGGCUUGGAUUUCACCUUCAGGAUGCCCACCGUCAGAUGGGCCGAGCUCCAAUCCGGCCCCUUGAAGCUCGCCUUCAAUCUCCACCUCUGCAAGGGAUGGUGGUGGGAUUCCAAUGGGUGCUCCAGCUCCAUUGGGACAUGCCGAGUGCCACUUGAUUCUUCUUGGAAGGCUUAGAUUUCACCGUCAAUGGACUGUGGUAUCCAUUAUGCCACGCAUGUGACAAAAUUCUGCACCACAUGCACGAUCCACGCAUCAUUUGCUGCAACCAGUGGAAACAUGAGCCCAUGUCCUGUGAUAUGCCAAGCAACUUGAUGCAUGUGAAGGCCAUGUAAGCAUUCCAGCUCAGUUUGACUAGGAGCAUGUAUGGCGCGCACACAGCUUUUCACAUGCUGCUCAUAUGUUCGACCGCAUCUUAUGAUUAUGUGCUGUUCUUGAGAUUGGAGACACUUAUCAGAGGUAUGGAACACUGGUUCUUCAGAUUCAGAUUCUUGCUCAAGUCGCGCUGCAGACAAGUCUUCCUUCUGUCAAAGAAAAUGCUUAUAGACGAAUAAAAAAGUCGUUCUUUAGCUAUUCUAUGUUGGAUUGGCUGAAAGUUUUGUUCCAUAUAGUUGAUCUUCUGCUGAAAACAUGCUUUGGCUUCCCAUUGUCUUUUACAGUGACCGACAUGCACAGAACACUUGCAAAAGUGAAGGCAUUGGGAGCCGAGUUGGUUGGCCCUAUUACAUGCAUAAUCUAUGUCAAGGUAAUGCUCCACUAGUAUAUAUCCUUGUCUUAGUUUUUUUCUUGAUUUUGUGUAAUGUGAUCGAGAUUCGCAAGUGCUUUGGUUGAUUAUAAGGGCUGCAGCCUUGCGUUGCAUUGAUGGGCACAUGUUAUGUCUAUAUGAACCUGCCUAAUAAAUGUAUGAAGGUAUGAGUGUGGACAGAUACCUGAAACCCUGGUAUGGAGGUCGCAUAAGCUUAUCACAAUGCUUUUGAGAUGCAAUGAGAUAUAUGUCAUUGUUUGCAGCAAA